AGAAAAACAAGGUAAGAAUGUUAAAACUGCGCAACUGGUCAUUGGACAGGUUGGGCCAAUAUUCAUAAGUUUUGCACCUACUGAAAAGAACAAGAUCGGAAGCCGGUGGACCCAUACAUGUGAAAUUGGGGUCUUGUAGAGUUAACUUCACCAAAUCUCUAAUACAUGCAUUGACUGAAAUUAUUUUUUUCUUCUUCUUUUGGUUGAAUUGAAUAAAUUGGCUCUUAGUCAGUGUUUCGUGGCCUCUUCCAAAUUGCACAUACUGGUCUUGUCCACUUUCCGACAGUGUUUUAAGGGGACAGCAUUUUCCUUGAAUCGCCUUUGAAUAUAACUGAUCACAUGAACAGCAAAAACAAUGAUAAAUGAUGCAUGUCUUUAUACACUUGGUAGUAAUAGUACAUCAAACAAGUUUGGCUUGGACUUCUAGAGUUAAACGUCGUGUGGGCUGUCUACCAUAUGGAUAGAUAUCUCUGGUUCAUGCUCCCACGAGAGAAGAAACAUGCCAUGUUUGUUCAAAGCAAGUCCUUUCACGAUCCAUGUGAUGCGUUGGGUAGAGUUCAUUUAAGAUUUGACCACAACAAACACGUGUAGUGGGAUAAUUUGCAGUCCCCGAUGAUGUAGCCCUUCCCACAACACUGUCCCACCCUCCUAGUGGUGUGAUUUUUUUACAAGCCGCUUGGUUGACUGCAAUCAACCAACAAAUCCAUGUGCUUUAAAACCAGCUACACUUUGUACAUGCCAUAUGAGCUUUAGCCUUACGCUGACUGCUCUCCAGUGCAGUUUGAUGAAUUCAUUGCGGGUUGGGGCGUAGGGAUGUGGUACAAGAGAAAAAUGAAGUGGCUACCUAACAAGAUACCAUAGGAAGAACGUUAUCCCAUUCACUGUGCCAUGGCAGAUACAACCACCAUAACCAAAAGAAUGGAGAGA
rnacentral:lncRNA from 1 species